AGAUCACUACCUGUUUCCAAGUACUUUAAUAUAGAUCGACGAGCUAGGGCUUCCACUUCAAGUGUAGCUGUUAUGACCACUUUCUCAGCAUAAUUCGUGAUCACUCUUUGGCUGAGUUUCGACAUAUACCGAUGAUAGCUCCUUCCUUCUCCCCUUCAACUACCGAUUCGUUAAUGUUGAACUUCAACGCUCCGUUUUUUGGGGGAAUCCACAAAUCGGUUUUUAUGGAUGAAGAGCUGGCCAGCUACUAAAACCCAGCUACAGACUCAAGAGAACUAGAAUCCUCAGCAGCAAAAUACAUGUUAUCCCCAGCAAACUGAGGGGUACAACUCCGAGAACCCAGCUACCGAUGCCCUCAGAAAAACAACCCUGACGUGGAGAACUUCCUCAACUCAAGAAGAGAGAAUAGGAUAUCGAAAAUCAUUCUAGUGCCUUAUGUAGAUCUACUGUAGACUGCUUAAUGUAGUUAUGCUUCCUCAGCCGGCCUCAGAUGUGAUUGUUAACCAAACGAUUCUCCUGGAUGGGAAGCAUGAUUAUGUUUUUGGUGGAAUGCUGGCGAGUGAUUGAAGGGA